rnacentral:rRNA from 1 species
CCUACGGGAGGCAGCAGUGGGGAAUAUUGCACAAUGGGGGAAACCCUGAUGCAGCGACGCCGCGUGAGUGAAGAAGGCCUUCUUGAUGUAAAGCUCCAUCAGUAGGGAAGAACAUGACGGUACCUGUGUAUGCAUGCCUGGCCACCUACGAUCCAGACGGCGAGGUAAUACGUAGGGGGCAAGCGUUAUCCGGAUUGACUGGGUGUAAAGGGAGCGUAGACGGCAGUGCAAGCCUGGAGUGAAAGGCUGGGGCUCAACCGCGGGACUGCAGUGGACACCGUAGGGCUGGAGUGCGGGAGAGGUAAGUGGAAUUCGUGGUGUAGCGGUGAAAUGCGUAGAGAUUAGGAGGAACACCGGUGGCGAAGGCGGCUUACUGGAGUGUAACUGACGUUGAGGCUCGAAGGCGUGGGGAGCAAACAGGAUUAGAUACCCUGGUAGUC